AAUAAACCAAUUUUUUACUUUUUACCUUUAAUUUUAACUCUUCGUUUUAUUUAAAAAAUUUUUACAAUUGAUAUUUUUGUUUUUAUUAGAUGAUAAAUCAUGAAUAGUAUUUUACGUGUGACUAAUUAUUUUUUAAUUUCCUAAAAAAAUUCAAAUAAGAUGGAUGAUCAAACAUUGGUCACGGAAACCGAAGAAUUCGUUUUUU
rnacentral:pre_miRNA from 1 species